UACAGAGGUCUCAAGCGUUGUUCGGAAUUACUGGGCGUAAAGGGCGCGUAGGCGGUCCGCUAAGUUGGAUGUGAAAACUCUGGGCUUAACCCAGAGCCUGCAUUCAAAACUGACGGGCUAGAGUUCUGGAGGGGGUAGCGGAAUUCCUGGUGUAGCGGUGGAAUGCGCAGAUAUCAGGAGGAACACCGGUGGCGAAGGCGGGAUCCUGGGCCAGUACUGACGCUGAGGAGCGAAAGCGUGGGGAGCAAACAGG
rnacentral:rRNA from 1 species